UGCCAGCCGCCGCGGUAAUACAUAUGUCCCGAGUGUUACCCGGAAUAAUUGGGUGUAAAGGGUUCGUAGGCGGAUAAGAAAGUUGGACAUGAAAGACCGAGGCUCAACCUCGUGUUUGUAUCCAAAACUCCUUAUCUAGAAUUAGGGAGAGGUAAGCGGAAUUCUAAGUGUAGGGGUGCAAUCCGUAGAUACUUAGAGGAACACCGAAAGCGAAGGCAGCUUACUGGAACUAUAUUGACGCUGAUGAGCGAAAGCGUGGGUAGCGAAAAGGAUUCGAUA
rnacentral:rRNA from 1 species